AACUUUUGGCAACGGAUCUCUUGGUUCUGGCAUCGAUGAAGAACGCAGCGAGAUGCGAUAAGUAAUGUGAAUUGCAGAAUUCAGUGAACCAUCGAAUCUUUGAACGCACAUUGCGCCCGGCAGUAAUCUGCCGGGCAUGCCUGUCCGAGCGUCAUUUCUACCCUCGAGCCUGUCCAGCAUCUAGGUGCUGUUCGGGUUCGGCGUUGGGGCACUACGGGAAGCCUCGUGCUAUCCCCCCUAGGCCCCGAAAUGAAGUGGCGGUCCUGCCGCGGCUCCCCCUGCGUAGUAUUACAGCUCGCUUCGGGACCCGGUGGAGGCCUGUCGUCAAACCUUACUCUCUAAGUUUGACCUCGGAUCAGGUAGGGUUACCCGCUGAACUUAAGCAUAUCAAUAAGCGGAGGCU
rnacentral:misc_RNA from 1 species